UCUAGCAGGCGUCUGUGCUUUUGUUGAGGCUGGACACGGGCUGUUGGUGGAAAUUUGGAUGUUUUUGACGAAGCACUGGUGGCAUGUGGGCUAUCUUUAUGCUGAGGCUGGAGACGAUCUCUAGGCUUGGGGGGUGAAAUGAUGUGGAUGUUCCAUUGCAAAGGCAUGUCAUUAAGUUGUGUUGCUGGAGCUAUAUGGGACGGAAGCUUAUAAAACCCUUCUUGGUUGGGGCUUGGAUUCGGUCGACGAUGCACGUUCUUUCGGUAAUCCUUAAACUCUUCGCACCCAGCGGUGGGGGCAGCUGUUUCAUUCGGUGUUUCGGCAAUGCUUGACGGGCAUAACAUGCUUGUUGGGGGUUGUAGUUCGCUGAUUGGAAUUGUUGCUCAUUGUACGUGGUGGUGCAUGAGUCGUAUCACGAUCGUUUGGGUAGGCAGGCUCCGUGCUCGCGCAUCGAAUUGCUUCCCCGCGAUCCUUUCAGUCCUAGCCCAAGUGAAUGUUUUGUAAGUGGGCAAAUGUCGGGUUCCUGUGUUGCAUACCCAC
rnacentral:lncRNA from 1 species